rnacentral:rRNA from 1 species
ACGUCACGCUCAGAGAUGGGUGUGCCUCUUUUGGGGUCGGUUCACAGGUGGUGCAUGGCUGUCGUCAGCUCGUGUCGUGAGAUGUUGGGUUAAGUCCCGCAACGAGCGCAACCCUUGUUCACUGUUGCCAGCACGUUAUGGUGGGGACUCAGUGGAGACCGCCGGGGUCAACUCGGAGGAAGGUGGGGAUGACGUCAAGUCAUCAUGCCCCUUAUGUCCAGGGCUUCACGCAUGCUACAAUGGCUGGUACAGAGAGUGGCGAGCCUGUGAGGGUGAGCGAAUCUCGGAAAGCCGGUCUCAGUUCGGAUUGGGGUCUGCAACUCGACCUCAUGAAGUCGGAGUCGCUAGUAAUCGCAGAUCAACAACGCUGCGGUGAAUACGUUCCCGGGCUUG